AUUGAACGCUGGCGGCAAGCUUAACACAUGCAAGUCGAGCGGGGUGAUGGUGCUUGCACUAUCACUUAGCGGCGGACGGGUGAGUAAUGCUUAGGAAUCUGCCUAUUAGUGGGGGACAACAUCUCGAAAGGGAUGCUAAUACCGCAUACGUCCUACGGGAGAAAGCAGGGGAUCACUUGUGACCUUGCGCUAAUAGAUGAGCCUAAGUCGGAUUAGCUAGUUGGUGGGGUAAAGGCCUACCAAGGCGACGAUCUGUAGCGGGUCUGAGAGGAUGAUCCGCCACACUGGGACUGAGACACGGCCCAGACUCCUACGGGAGGCAGCAGUGGGGAAUAUUGGACAAUGGGGGGAACCCUGAUCCAGCCAUGCCGCGUGUGUGAAGAAGGCCUUAUGGUUGUAAAGCACUUUAAGCGAGGAGGAGACUCUUUUGGUUAAUACCAAGAUGAGUGGACGUUACUCGCAGAAUAAGCACCGGCCAACUCUGUGCCAGCCGCCGCCGUAAUAC
rnacentral:rRNA from 1 species